rnacentral:rRNA from 1 species
GAUGAACGCUGACAGAAUGCUUAACACAUGCAAGUCUACUUGAUCCUUCGGGUGAAGGUGGCGGACGGGUGAGUAACGCGUAAAGAACUUGCCUUACAGACUGGGACAACAUUUGGAAACGAAUGCUAAUACCGGAUAUUAUGACUGAGUCGCAUGAUUUGGUUAUGAAAGCUAUAUGCGCUGUGAGAGAGCUUUGCGUCCCAUUAGUUAGUUGGUGAGGUAACGGCUCACCAAGGCAACGAUCGGUAGCCGGACUGAGAGGUUGAACGGCCACAUUGGGACUGAGACACGGCCCAG